UAUCUCUGAUGACAAAGCUUUGUAAACCCAUGAUUUUGGAAUCCAUCCAGUCUCCUGGUGCUGCUGGAUGCUCACCCUUCUGCCAAGGACCUCCCAGUGCCCCCCUGUGACCUGGCACCACUCAGCCCUCCUGUCAGUGGAAGCCAGGACCUGGCACCAUGGGCUGUGCACUGCCUGUGUGUGCUGACACACAUCUUUAAUGUAGACAUUAACAUGAUUUCGUGUUAAUUACAUGCAAAUUGAUUAUUAGUAUAUUUAUUGAAUGUUGACAUCAGGGUGACAGUCUUCAAUAAAUAUGUUUUACUAAUCAGUUAGCAUUAAUUAAUAUUGAAAUCCCCUGUAGGUUUAGCAAGUCGGUGAACAUUGGUGAGGCCCCUCUGUUGCUGCCAGUGUUGCUGGAUGUUGGCAGUGUUGCUGGCAGCACUCGGCUGUUCCUGUUCUGCAGCACUGCGAGCACAAGCGGGCCCAGGAGGUCCAGGGGCAGUGGCAGUGCUGGAAGGACAGAUGGACACAUGCCCUGCCCCGAGGGAGAAGCUUCUGGAAAACAUUGCUCUUGGGAGAGCCCCCCAUGCAGCAGGGCCUGCCUGAGGCCAGGGGGCUGCCAGCUUCAGCCAAGGUGCUAGUGGCCAGGCAGCGCUUGCAAGAAGCUCUGGAGACCCCUUUCUCCAGGACACAGGGCUGCUUGUGGGUAUGUCUGAGCAGCAGAAGGAGAAUGCUGCUCUCACCUGCAUGCAGGACCCUUAGUCCCCUGCCAGCAAUGCAGAGGAGUUUGUAUGCUGCAUUUAAACCACCAAGCAGACCAACUCCUAAGCUGCCUGGGCAGCAUUUUCUCUUGCCUCCCCAUCCUUAGCAGGGCAGGAGCCAUACAGUGCCUGCUGACUGUGCCUUCUCUGCAGCAUCCCUGAGGAGUAAAUGGCCAAGGCAGCAGGGAGAGCGGCUCCACGCUGGGGUCAACACUUGAGUUUUGUCAUGCUGAUGCUCCUUGGCUGACAAUUACGAUUCUUCCCUGCUUCCACCUUGUGCAAACACCUUAGAGCUGGAACACCAAGAAAUUAAUAUGCUGAACCCUUAGAGCUGCCCCUGUUCAGACAGAUGGACAGGCUGUGGGGUGCCUGAGACCCUUCUGCUCUGCUCUGAGGACAGCAGACACAGGGAAAAUGCCUGAAGAGCUCAGCACGCAGCUGCAACAGGAGCUGGGUGUUUGGUUGCUGGUUAGAAUAAUUUUGGUCUUGCUCAGCUGCUCUUUGCUUCCCUCACUGCGGGGUCUGACACCCCUCCUGUGAGCAGAGGCAGGUGCCCCAGCCAGCAGGGUUUCUGCUUUCCUGAGCUGGACACGUCUGCCUGCUGCGGGCAAGCAUGUCAAAUCACACCUACCAUAUUGGCUUCCUGUCCCCAGAACAUCAGAUUUUUGCAGCUAAUGUGUGGGGGGUGUCUCCUCCUGCCAAUCCCCACCCCCAGCAGCAUCAGGUCUGUGCUGUUCGGGGUUUUGUUAAGCCGUUUAGUAUUAAUUGAUUUUUUUUUCCAUUUUUUCUUUCUUUCCCUGGGCGGGUCAAUAGCUGGAUGCUCAAGAGCAGAGGAUCUAUCAACUGCAGACCAAGCAGAGGGAGAGGCAGGCAGACCUGGAGCAGAAAUGCAGCCAGAGCAUCAGCUCAGCCAGGACCUGGGGGCCAGCCACCAGCUACGGAAGGGAGCUUGGAGCAGGCCUCUUGCUUUUUCUUGACUCCCACACAGUGCUGCCGUCACUGCUGGCUUGGAAGGAGGCCCCAGAGCUGCUGAUGUGGCUGUCCAGAGGCGCUAUCCCUCUUCCAGCAACUUAGUGAUUGUAAUUGCAAGAACCACCAAUGCCUUGUGUCCUGUGACCAGACCCAAGCAGCCCUUUGCUUUCAUUUGCUCCUUCCAUUUUCCAGCAGAAUUUCUACUUCCUGCUGAUUUCCAUUUCUUGGUUCCUUAGAGAACACAUGACAGGUCCUCCAGAGCUUGUGUAUGCCCUUAACCCACAGAGCCAAAAAACGGAGAUGCAGUUGUCAGAAGCAGCAGUGGGAAUGUGCCGCGAUGGUGUAAAUACACAGCAGCACGAGCAGCGGGCCGGAGGCAGCCCCAGGGACCGCUGCACACCUGCGGGCUCCCUCCUGAGCCCGUCUGCGCCCGACCUGGAGGGCAGUGUUCAAACACAGCCAGGCGAGCCCUGUUGUGGCCGACGCUGCCGGGGCAGCACUGGGGAAUGGGUGAGCCGGUGUUUGACCAGCGGCAGUGUCAGGGGCUGGCUCCUGGGUGACUGGGCUGGGUGGGUCUCCUCACGCACCAACACUCCCCACCACGAGGUCUCCUGGGAACAUGCGGUAGCUGGAGGAGUAGAGCAGGGCAAAGCACUGAUGUUCACUCUGGGAUGUGUCAUGGCCUUUCAGCUUCCACUAGAAAGACAGCAGGGCAGAGCAGGUCCCGACCCAUUAUUGCUACUGUGGCUGUUUCCCCCUUCUGUUUUUACACAUCCAGUUUGUUCUCUCUCCCUUCCCUCUCCCUAGAGCUGCUGUGGUUUUUAAUAAGUAUUUUUCAAGUAGCUGGCUGAGACCCUCGCAAGGAUAAUGAGAUCAUUCGCACCGCAGAAUGCCGAGCCCUGCAAGUCCCGAUUGCUAUCGCUCCCGGUGGACUGCGCCCACGGUGCCCGUAUUUCUGUCGCUGUUCCUCAUCCCAAACACAGCAGCAUGCCCUGGGCAGUACCGGAUGGGAUCGGCCGGGGUACGGCUCCCUGCCAACACCAUCAAUUGUCACUGGAACCGCUCAGAAAUAACCUUUAAGGCUUAUUAAGAUUCUACCGACGGAGACGUUGA